UGCAGCGGUCAUGUGUGAGUGUGGAGGGUUUCCUGUCUUGCUCUCUCUGUACGUACCUUAUGAUCUCUACAUGGCUGCUGCUGCUCCCCUCAAGGCCCAGCUCCUGCAUCUCACGCCGCCCGCGGGCUCGUCUGCCAGAGAGCGCUAGACUCCAUUGCCUUGCGCUACAGCGUCGCCAGAGCCAACAAUUCCAACUGCAGUAUAGGCACCAGGCGGCUCAACAAGCAUUCAACGCCUUCCCGACUGGAGAGGCCCUUAGAUUCGUCGACGCUGAGAUCCAUCAGCCGCCACGGACUGAUCACAGUCUCGACGUAUCAGACAACGCGUUUCUGGAGGUGUCACCGGACCCCGGAGAGAUAUUUCCUGCUGGCGAGUGUGUCGUCAAUAUGCCGCCACCCACCCCGGAGAACACCCAGGAACAACAACAGCGAGAACCGCGGAGCCCCGAAGAGGAGUGUCUAAUCGGCGAGCUGGAGCACAUGUUGUCCAGACAGCCGAGCGUGGAGCCUUCAACUUCCGAGAGCGGGGCCCCUGUGCUUCUAGCUGAGCAGUGCAUCCCGGAACAGGCGAGGCGAACCCCCGUGCGUUGUCCGGGGACUCCUCCUCCAAGGGGUCGUUCCGAUUCCGCUCGUCCAGGACUACGAGGGAGGAGGCGGUUCCGAGGAUCGAGGCUGCUCUUCAAUAGGGCCGUUGAGCACAGAUUUGAGAGCGUCGUCUGGAAUGUUAUUGAGAGGAGUCUGAUUAUGAAUGAUUUGCUCCGCACGCUGAUGUGAAAACUGUGCUGGAAUGUCACUCAUUUGAAUAUUAAACAACAAGAUGACCGAUGAAAACUCUGAUCUCAAUGAUUCACAAGCCGAAUUAGAAGAUGUGUUAACUUUGAUAUCCAAUGGCCAAAGAGGGUUUCGGUGUGUGAACAUAACCACCGAGCAUUUUGAUCAGUUGGAUGAAUUGGUCAAUGAUUUGGUGGCGAGAGUCGGAAGUGUGUCUCCGGUCUACUUCCCGAAUCGCGACUAUGACUUUCCUAGUGGGGGUGAUGAGUAUGUUUCUGAUUUUGAUCGAUUAGAACAGUCUGUAAACCGCUUCAUUGAAAGACUGCAAAAUCCCAGCCAGAGAAGUAAUGAACUCCCGUCAGAGGAGGGCGCACCCGAGUAAGGAGACAAUGACGAUGCUAUGGAAGGAGCUCCUCCGAGCAGAGACGGCAACCCGGAAGCACCCCCCGACACACGACGCCGCGCAGAGGGGAAGCAGGCUCUCCGAUGAAACCAGGAUUGUAGCCAGAAACAGUUUCAAUAACUUGAAACAAGGGAAGCAACCAUCGCCUCCGC
rnacentral:lncRNA from 1 species